CACCUGUGCUGGUGGCUGUAGCCUGCACCAUGUCUCUGCGGGGCGCGGUGGCAAGUCGAGUUGUUCCCCUGCGAGCGUCGGGAAGCGGGUGUUUCACACGCACCCCCGCGGAAGCAGCUAAUGCAGUACCUAAGGACUCCAGCUGAAAUCAAGGCCCCUUUGUCUAGGCUUGGUACAAACAUAUAGGAAGAGAGAGUCCCUGCUGAAGACAAAGGGUUGUGGGGAAGGGAUAUGACCUACAACAGAGUGAACAAUUUGAUGAUCUACAAAUGUCAUUAGAAUUCAAGCUUAUGGGACAAGCCCUUUUGCACAUAACCUCUUCAUAGGUGUGCAGGGGCAAGUAGCAAAGUCUUGGUAUUCUGGUGUUCCACAAUGGCCAUUCAGUUUUGGAAGUCCUUGGCUAAACUUACCGGGGGAUCGACGUGCAGUUGCUCUCCUGUUGACUCCGGUACUCCGCUGGAACAAGAAGCAUAAGGUAAACCCAGCAUGGUAUAGA